UACAGAGGGUGCAAGCGUUGUUCGGAAUUAUUGGGCGUAAAGCGCGUGUAGGCGGCUUGGCAAGUCGGGUGUGAAAUCCCUCAGCUCAACUGAGGAAGUGCGCCCGAAACUGCUUUGCUUGAGUGCCGGAGAGGAUGGCGGAAUUCCCCAAGUAGAGGUGAAAUUCGUAGAUAUGGGGAGGAACACCGGUGGCGAAGGCGGCCAUCUGGACGGUAACUGACGCUGAGACGCGAAAGCGUGGGUAGCAAACAGG
rnacentral:rRNA from 1 species